rnacentral:misc_RNA from 1 species
GAUGAAGAACGUAGCGAAAUGCGAUAAGUAGUGUGAAUUGCAGAAUUCAGUGAAUCAUCGAAUCUUUGAACGCACAUUGCGCCUUCUAGUAUUCUGGGAGGCAUGCCUGUUUGAGCGUCAUUAAACCUCUCUCAAGUAUGAUUACUUGGAUGUGAAGGAAGAGUACCUUAAACUUAAGGAGUGUUCUCCUUUGAAAUUGAUUAGCAGAUGGUAAUGUUAUUAAAUCCCUGAUGUUGUAAGAAAUAACAGUGGUUUUGUAGACUAUUAUCUAGCUUUAAAUUAGAAUUUUUAUUAUGGUUGACCUCAAAUCAGGUAAGGAUACCCGCUGAACUUAAGCAUAUCAAUAAGCGGAGGA